GUUUGAUCAUGGCUCAGGACGAACGCUGGCGGCAUGCCUAACACAUGCAAGUCGAGGGGCCCUUCGGGGUCACUGGCGCACGGGUGAGUAACACGUAGGUCAUCUACCCCUAUCACAGACAUAACUCCGGGAAACCGGUGCUAAUAUCUGAUGAGGUCGCGAGAUCAAAGCUUCGGCGGAUAGGGAUGAGCCUGCGGCUGAUUAGCUAGUUGGUGAGGUAACGGCUCACCAAGGCAACGAUCAGUAGCUGGUCUGAGAGGACGAACAGCCACACUGGAACUGAGACACGGUCCAGACUCCUACGGGAGGCAGCAGUGAGGAAUAUUGGUCAAUGGGAGCAAUCCUGAACCAGCAAUGCCGCGUGUGGGAUGACAGGGCUCAGCCUUGUAAACCACUGUCGGACGGGACGAGAAGGUGCCUUGGGCACCCGGGACGGUACCGUCAAAGGAAGGGUCGGCUAACUACGUGCCAGCAGCCGCGGUAAUACGUAGGACCCAAGCGUUGUCCGGAUUUACUGGGUAUAAAGGGUGCGCAGGCGGUCGAGUGCGUCAGAGGUGAAAUAUCCGGGCUUAACCCGGAGGGUGCCUUUGAUACGGCUUGACUUGAGUCCGAGAGAGGGUGAUGGAAUUCCUGGUGUAGCGGUGAAAUGCGUAGAUAUCAGGAGGAACACCGGUGGCGAAGGCGGUCACCUGGCUCGGCACUGACGCUCAGGCACGAAAGCGCGGGGAUCAAACAGGAUUAGAUACCCUGGUAGUCCGCGCCCUAAACGAUGUAUGCUUGGUGUUGGACCGCUUGCGGUUCAGUGCCGUAGGAAAUCUGAUAAGCAUACCACCUGGGGAGUACGAUCGCAAGGUUGAACUCAAAGGAAUUGACGG
rnacentral:rRNA from 1 species